AGAAUAACACUAAUGGACAUGUAAACACACAUCGAUAAAUACAAUACAAUUAGCCCUCCAGGAAACUCUGCAAGGACUCUGCAUUUCAUCUGGAGAACAAUGGACUGGAAGAGUACAUAAUCUAUCCCCUUCACAUCAACACACAAGCACUGAUAUUUCUCUGAUAUUUGCUGCUACAACCUCCCCAGAUGCAGCCACAACUUACUUUGUUGUUUCUUUACACUGAACACAUACCUUAGCUGACCUUGCUUCCUGAAGUGCAAAUUGCGCAAAUGUAAUCUUUGCAAAAUUCCUCAUAUUCCUCAAACAUUUGCUCAAACUUCAUCAUUUUUGAAGACUCUGAUCACCCUACAAAUGCUACAGACAUCUACCAACUCAGCAUUCUAUUCAUUUAAUUACUCCAAUAUUGUCAUUGUUUCAAAUAUCCAUAACCUUUUAAUGUAUUAUAUAAAUUAUUUAUUAUUGUAGAAAAUGAAAAUUAGCUGGACAGCAAAUAUCUACCCAGUCAAAAAAGAUUUAGAUAAAUUCAGCUGGAAAGUUAACAGGAAACACAUUUCUUCCAAGGUUUGUGGCCACUGAAAAGUGGUAAGAUAACUGCCUUCUUUGAUUGACUACCUCUUUCUUUCUUUCCUCCUUUUUUCUUUCCUUUCCUUUCUCCUUUCUUUCUUUCUUUCUUUCUUUCUUUCUUUCUUUCUUUCUUUCUUUCUUUCUUUCUUUCUUUCCUUCUUUCUUUCUCUUUCUCUUUCUUUCUCUAUCAUAAAUUGUGCUUUUUGAAAUUAUGCCGGUAAGAACAACAUAUCCCACUCUUGCUUGGAUAAUCUGUCAUUUUGAAAGAGAGAAGCAACCUUUAUACACAAUCUAAACUCAAAACUUCAGUUGGGAGUUUCUGAAUAAAAUA
rnacentral:lncRNA from 1 species